rnacentral:lncRNA from 1 species
AUGCGUAGCUCUGGGCUCUUGCUGGACAGAUGGCCUUCACAGAGGCCCUCCCAGACAUCCAGUGGCCUUGGAUAUCAUGAUGUGAGGGAGCAAUCAGGAUGAGGAAGACAAACUGUACAAGGCUACUGGCUACAGGGCUGAGUAAUGCAACGUCAGAUGAAUAAAGUGUGAACGAUGACACACAGUUACCUCGGGUACUGGGAGACAGAGCUUGAAGCAUGAAGAUUUGUUAAGCACUCGGUCCUCCCUGAACAGUACAGUUUGACUCUUGUCAGCUUGAGCAAACUUGGACUCUUUCUGGAAGACCUGGGUGAGAGGAGAACUUGGUGUCAUUAACCUCAUAAUGAGACAUGGAUUUGCUGAAGUGCCUUUCUCCUGAUUACUUAGGGAUCCUUGAGGGUCCAUUCCUUCCAGGCCCUGUUACCUGGCACACCCAGACUACAGCACAGCAUGUCUCCGAAAAAGACCUGCCUCUCCCCUUCCCCACCUGUUGCUGACCCAGGACCCUCAGAGCAAAGGGAGAAAACUCUCAGGGUUCAAGUAGCCAUGGAACACUCUCCACUAUGGUCCUGAAGACACCAGGGUGCUUUCCAAGACUCUAUCCUGAAUUGGUCUCCACUGAUGUUUAUCUCAGAUUCUAGGACCAAGCUUCUUAGCCUGCAGGCGAAUCACCCUCCUAGACUUUACAUUUUCAGAACCAGGAACAGCAGGGCAUGUGACAGCUGGAAAUACUGGUCCAGAUAGUCUAUUCACAGGUGAAUCAGGGCGGGAAUCAACACAGCUCUCGGAUCCUUUCGGUUCAGACAAAGAAACGGGGCCCUGAGGCCGGGUCUAGAAGGUAUGCUCACUCAGGCUCCUGCAUGACAUUCUAAGGAUCUUAACAUUGCAGAUUCUGAUCUAGGAUCAGCAUUUCUGUUACUGCAGUGGAACACAGAUGGAGGCCUCACAAGAACAAUGGUCAGAACCACAGGAAUCUAACUCCAUCUCCACCCUCUACCAGUGGGGUGACCUCUCACACAUUGCCUAACCUCUCUGGCCACCAGUUUCCUAAUCUAUAAGAUGAGGAUUGCAGUGGUACCUGUCUCCUGAGGUGGCCAGAGACACUAUAGAGAUAGCCUUUCCAAAGCCCAGCCCAGCAUCUGGCAAGAGACACAUGAUAAUUAAUUACCUCACACUUCCCCUCAAACCAGUGCAAACCAUAAUGAGCACUAGCGAUUCCAGCAAGCAUUUAAUUUAUUGACUUGGAAAAUGGAAGGGCUCUGUAUCAAGGGACCAUUUGGAUGGAGUUUUCAGAAAGAAGGAAUGCACAGAUGUCUUUUUUCUCCUCCAUAGAAAUUUCCUAGCACCAGCAAGGGGGUGCAGACUCACUCUGUCCCUCUUCAAACAGCCUACAGGAAGCGGGGGGGGGGGGCAGGCACGAAGUCAGACCACUGCUGACUUCUCCCUGGGGGCUUGCAAAAGUCAGGGAUGCCUUGACUCCUGCGUGCUUUUCUUGUUGUUGUUGUUGUUGUUGUUUUUUUCUCUAAUGACUUCUGCUGCAUGGGGAGCGGGGGUGGGGGGGGUGUUGUGGGGGUGGGGGGAGCAUCUCAGGAAGCCUUAGCAGAGGGCUAAGCAAAGAUGUGAGUUCUCCCCAGUGAUGGGAAUGGAGGAACCUCACUUGCCCAGCACAAAACACUAAAGGAACCCCCGCAAGCUCAGAACAGUAGCUCCCUUUGAUCGUGGACCAUCCUACGGUUCAAAAUAAACUUAUGGAUUCAGCAUAAUAGCCUAGUAAGAGAGAGACGAGCAACUAUUAAUAAAGAACAGCCAUAGCACACUGCAAUAAAAGGUGCAAGUACAUAGUCAUUUUCUUGGUCAGGGUAUCUUAAUGUACCGAGCCCACACAGUCUGGGAUGCUGUGGGUGACCUGAUGUCCGGGUGCUAAGAUGAAAAGCCGGGAAUGGUGCUGGAGAGCCCGCUAGGCUAUGAGGAGAGAGGGUUCUGGAAGGCAAAGCAUGUGAUGCUACGAGAAUGGAUUUGAGAGCCAGUACGGCUGUUCAGUGGCCGGUAGGCAAGUGGGAGUACACUCACAGUGGACACAAUAGACCAAUAGAUAAUUCCUGGUUCCUCCUGGAGGGAGUGUAUUGAGUUGGACAGUAUGAAUGUCAUCACAUUCCCCAGAUUAACUUGCUUAGUUCUGGAAUUUUCCACUUAGUGUUUUAGGCUUUGGUUGAGUAGAAGCAACUGAAAUCAAAGAAAGCUCAAGGGAGGGCUAUUGUAAUAUUUUAUUAGCAUGAUGUAUUAAAAGAUUAAAAAUUAGUUUUAAAAAUCCAUGAAAACCAAAGCAUCACACGUUCAAGCAGACGCCAAUCUGUGGCCCCUGAAAGCAGCUGCCUCCUGCCUAAUGUCCCCGAUCUUGAGGAUUAACUCCUCUGGGACCAGUGUUGUCUGUGGCUCUUAGAAUUCAGACUUCUGAAAGCUCCACAGUAGCUCAGCAAUGGGGCUGGGCCGCACCAGCCUUCUCUGGAAUGAAGUUAGGGGCCAGUAGACUAGGGAGACUCUGCUAAGGGGCCCCAACAUUUUGCUUUCCUGCAUCUAUCUAUAUGAGGCUCUUACUGUGGCUCACUUGUGUACAGAAACUUAAAGAACUAUGGACUGAUGCCAUAUAUGAACCUAUGCUGUCACUGAUGACACCAUAAGCUAGUGCUUCCCACUCCAGAUAUCGGGAGUCCUCCUUGCUGGUUUACCUCCUCUGCGACUUCCGGGCCCAGCCCAGUCUUCCCAGUUAUCUUCACGAUCAUCCAGUCCCAGGGGUCUUUCCCUCGAGCACACAUUUGAGAGUUGACUAUGUCCUGAGCUGUGGUGUAGCCACACAGUCUUGAAUUUUAAACUAGCAUCAGCAUACAUUCAAAGUUAAAUUGUGCUGAAAGGCUCAGAGUGAAGUGGAGGAGACUGCAAACAGGUCCACUUUCUCCACGCCCAGUCUCACCUCUAGGGUGCAGUCACUCAUAAUUCUUUUGGCCAUUUCCUCCCUUAUUUAGCUCCACUGUCCUCAAUAGGUGUAUACAUGGUUUCAUUCAUUCAUUCACUCAUUCAUUCAUUCGUUUGUUCUUUCAUUCACUUACCUUUUUAUGGCAAAUAUGGCUUCACUUCCUCAUGUCCUUUCUGUUCCCUUUCCCUCCCUCUUCUUAACCAGCUGUUUUGUUGUUGAAUAAAAGCAACUAUUUUUUUUUAAAGU